AGCGAACGCUGGCGGCAGGCUUAACACAUGCAAGUCGAGCGGGCCCUUCGGGGUCAGCUGCAGACGGGUGAGUAACACGUGGGAACGUACCCUUUGGUUCGGAAUAACGCUGGGAAACUAGCGCUAAUACCGGAUACGCCCUUUUGGGGAAAGGCUUGCUGCCAAAGGAUCGGCCCGCGACUGAUUAGCUAGUUGGUGGGGUAAUGGCCUACCAAGGCCACGAUCAUUAGCUGGUCUGAGAGGAUGAUCAGCCACACUGGGGCCGAGACACGGCCGAGACUCCUACGGGGAGAGGAAGUGGGGAAUAUUGGAAAAUGGGCGAGAGCAUGAUGCAGUCCUGCCGCGUGAGUGAUGAAGGCCUUAGAGUUGUAAAGCUGUUUUGUCCGGGACGAUCAUGACGGUACCGGAAGAAUAAGCCCCGGCUAACUUCGUG
rnacentral:rRNA from 1 species